CCAAACCUGGGAAGUAGUGAUUUCCAGGGCAAGUUUUGAAGUAUCCUGUUGUCUUUUAUCUCAAAGGGCAUAUGACAAUUGGUAGCAGAAAUCAAUAUCAUUAACAUUAAACACAAUAUAUGCCACAUAAUGUGUUUAAAAUAGUUAUAGUAGUAAUCUCAAAAAUCAGCUAUGGUAGCUUUUUAUGGCUGCAAAAAUACUGAAUAUUUUAAUAAGGUAAUAUUUAAUACAGGAUUUUAAACAACACAGAGGAUGUAAUAAGAUAAAACCGGAAAUCAGUUCUUAAAGAGAGUCAUGACCAGUCCUUAUGGGGAUGAUUUUCUUGUUCUGGGGUAUUGCUUUCAAGUUAAAUAUGAAGGCCUUCAAGCAUAGAUCAUGUUUUCCACUAGUCAAGAGAGGGCAUUAGACUGAACUGUCCAUGGGUCUGA
rnacentral:lncRNA from 1 species